CUUCACAGUAUUCUAACCUGUGGGACAGCAAAGGAAGGUAUUGAUCUAUCAUGUUACUUUUACUAAAUUUUCCUUUGCAUAAUUGGCAUGAAAUUCUGCACAUAUGAUUUGUUGUUUCAUUAUUUAUGGCUGUACUUGUUAAGAAUUUCUGCAUGUAUGCUGAGAUAUAUGAGUUGGAUACCCUUCCCAGUCUACCUACCUUUCAGUUAGAAUAAUUUUCUAGGUUUCCCAAACCUGUCCUGCAAAAGGAGUGUUACAACCAGACCACCCCAUUUUG